GGUGUGUGUGUGUGUGUGUGUGUGUGUGUGUGUACACACACACAUACAUACAUACAUACAUACAUA
rnacentral:miRNA from 1 species